UACGUAGGGUGCGAGCGUUGUCCGGAAUUAUUGGGCGUAAAGAGCUCGUAGGCGGUCUGUCGCGUCGGUCGUGAAAACCUGCAGCUUAACUGUGGGCGUGCGGUCGAUACGGGCAUGACUGGAGUUCGGCAGGGGAGACUGGAAUUCCUGGUGUAGCGGUGAAAUGCGCAGAUAUCAGGAGGAACACCGGUGGCGAAGGCGGGUCUCUGGGCCGAUACUGACGCUGAGGAGCGAAAGCGUGGGAGCGAACAGG
rnacentral:rRNA from 1 species